rnacentral:rRNA from 1 species
CCUACGGGUGGCAGCAGUGGGGGAUAUUGCACAAUGGGGGGAACCCUGAUGCAGCGACGCCGCGUGGGUGAAGAAGCGCCUCGGCGCGUAAAGCUCUGUCAGCAGGGAAGAAAAUGACGGUACCUGAAGCAGAAGCCCCGGCUAACUACGUGCCAGCAGCCGCGGUAAUACGUAGGGGGCAAGCGUUAUCCGGAUUUACUGGGUGUAAAGGGGGCGCAGACGGGGAUGCAAGCCAGGAGUGAAAGCCCGGGGCUCAACCCCGGGACUGUUCUUGGAACUGGGUGGCUGGAGUGCAGGAGGGGCAGGCGGAAUUCGUGGUGUAGCGGUGAAAUGCGUAGAUAUCAGGAGGAACACCGGUGGCGAAGGCGGCCUGCUGGACUGCAACUGACGUUGAGGCCCGAAAGCGUGGGGAGCAAACAGGAUUAGAUACCCCGGUAGUC